rnacentral:tRNA from 1 species
GGUUUGUAGCUCAGUGGUAGAGCGCUUGCCUCACAUGCAUGAGGCACUGGGUUGGGUCCUCAGUACCA